rnacentral:rRNA from 1 species
AUUGAACGCUGGCGGGAUGCUUUACACAUGCAAGUCGAACGCGUGGCGGACGGGUGAGUAAUAUAUCGGAACGUGCCCAGUAGCGGGGGAUAACUACUCGAAGGAGUCGCUAAUACCACAAACUCUUUGAGCGGCCGAUAUCGGUUUAGCUAGUUGGUGGGGUAAAGGCACACCAAGGCCAAGAGCCGUAGCUGGUUUGAGAGGACGAACAGCCACACGGGGACUGAGACACGGUCCAGACUCCGUAGGGAGGCAGCAGUGGGGAAUUUUGGACAAUGGGGGAAAGCCUGAUGCAGCCAUCCCGCGUGUAUGAGAAGGCCUUCGGGUUGUAAAGUACUUUUGGCAGAGAAGCGGUAUCUGCAGAAUAAGCACCGGCUAACUACGUGCCAGCAGCCGCGGUAAUAC